ACGUUGGUUCUCGUCGUGCAGGCAGAAGCCACUGAAACGCGCUUCGCAAGUUGUAAACGAUUGAAAUCCACCCAUAAAGUAGAGUGGCAUGUACCCUUUGUAAACCAAUUUGAUAUUAAUUUUAUUAAAUCAAACUUAAAAUAUUACAAAGUAAAAAUAGAAAGUUUUGUUAACUAGUGGAUUGCAAAAUAUAACCUAAGCGGCGUAGCGUGCCUUGUCGGGGCCCCGUAUAAAAAUUUUUUUGGAGGCCCUUAUAUGGAGAAUCUACUAUCGUUUAGUAGUGUUCGAAAUGCAUGUAAGUAAAGAAAUUAAAUCGUGGUAUUUGUGUAUUAAAUUCAUUUGAAAUAUUUAUUUAUAAAUUUUACGUGAAUAUUGAGUUUACAAUUUUUAUAUUUUGAGUUAACAUGUUUCGUCCAGAGGGCAUCUUCAUAAACUUUAUGUAUAUUUCAUAAUAUUUCAAAUAUACAAUGGAUUACGUAUUCGCAAAAGAAA